ensembl:lncRNA
AAAAUAGCAGUUACAGAUUUUAUGAGGAAAUAUCUCUCUGUAACGGUGUUGUUUCUUUGUUUUAUGUUUUGGUGUUUGCAGUAUUUUAUCACUUUGCUGACUUGCUUAUGGUAGCUAACACAGAACAGUUUAUGUACCAUGUCUGUGAGAUCACUGAGAAGGGCAUGGGCAGAGCUUUAGGCUCUUGUGAUAUUGCACUGUGUCCUAAGGAGCUAAGGGUCAGGCCACGACAGAUGAGACACUCUGUGGAGAAUGGCUUGGACACCUGAGCCACAAUACUAAUACCCCAAGCAUACAAUGUGCAUGCUUUUUUUAGUGCAGUCAUAACACAGACAUCACUACAUGCGUGCAUGAUGCCCCCAAGAACAUACCAUUAACUUAGAAAUGGCUAACACAUUCCAUCAGGUGCUAGGCCUGUUAUCAAGAAGCCCAAUAUAAGAAAUAGGGUAAGAUGUGAGUUUACAGCACAAGCCCAGUUGCCAUGGGUCUAGAAGAAGUAAGUUUUAGGUUGACCUCACAAUGCUCUGAGUGAACUGGUAGCCAGGAUGCCACUGGAAUAAGGCCCAAUAGAAGAAACGCAAUACUUAGCAGCCCAAUGGCAUGCUGCUCCAUUGUUGUCUGGUUCAUGGGACACCAAUCCCAUGCUGACAUCAGGGAGGACCGGUAGCCAUGCACAACAGGUAUGAGACAUGGUCCAGGAAUGGAGUCCUGUGAGAAGACUUCUGAGUGCUUGUGAGAAUAUUCCUAAGAGUCCGAUGGCCUUAUGACCAAAGUUUCUUCAAGAUCCCAAAUUGUCCAUGGACUGUGUUUUCAUGCUCUUUUCCUGGUGUUUUGGAUAGGAAUGAGUUUACUUCAGAUUGCUCAUUAUUGCUUCCUGUUGAAAUUUAACUAAGGUUUAAACUACCCUUUAUAUGCCUUUAUGGAAAAACAUAAUUUGGCAACUUGUAGCUAGUUCUUGUGAUUGUACACAGCUUGAACUCAGGAGAAUUAUAUAUUGAACUUGAGAGUGAUUCCAAUAUCUGAGGCUUUGAAAGAAAAUGGCUUUAGUAUAAGCCUUUAAUACACGUUAUGUUGGGCUCCAUUCUCCUAGGUCCUACUGCCUGUAGAGCAGUGGCAGACAGGUGUGAAUAAACUGGGGAAACAAAGCCCAGAGGCAGGAGGAACUUAAGGUUACAUCAUAUUUUAAAUUGAGCUCCUUGAAAACACACAGGUAUUAUAUUUUCAAUAUUAAUGGUACUAGGGCUGCACUAUCAAUUCAUAAUUUUAUAUUGGGUGAUGGCAAAUGUAAACAUUUUUAUCUUUGGAUCACAGUGCUGUAUUUGUCCCUGCCCUUAAUCUGCCUGUUGGGAUGACAGUGACUCUGGAGGAGUUGCAGCACUUGUUAUGGGACACUUACUUUUGGGGUUAAUUUUAACAAAAAUCAGUUCUAUAAUUGUCUUUGUUAGGCUUUGACUUCUGUGAACAGAUACCAUGUCCAUGCUAACUCCUAUAAGGACAAUAUUCAAUUGGGGCUGUCUUACAGGUUCAGAGGUUCAGUCCAUUGUCAUCAGGGCAGGAGCAUGACAGCAUCCAGAUAGGGAUGGCACAGGCUGAGCUGAGAGUUCUCCAUGUUCAUCUGAAGGCUGAUAACAGAAUACUAGCUUCCUGGCAGCCAGGAUGAGGGUCUUAAUUCCCAAACCCAGAGUGACACACCUACGUCAGCAAGGCCACGCCUCCAAACAGUGCCAGUCCCAGGGCCAAGCACAUAGAAACCAUCACAGUAUAGUUUUGCAAUUAUAAUUACAGUAUUUCAUCAUGUAGCCAUCUUUAUCUUUGUUUAGACUGGAGUUUGUUCUAUAAACCAGGCUUCCCUCAUGUCACAGAGCUCCUUCUUUCUCUGCAUCAUGGUUCAGUUCUUCAUUUAUUGAUUAAAGUCACUGCUCCAUAGCACACUCAUAUAAAAUAGCACUGUGGUCACUGUUAGUUUCAUGUAUGAUUGUCCCUGUCAGUUUAUAACUUUUUCGCAUCAUCUUAUUGAGGACUUGGCAUCCCUUACCAGGUCUAGUGUUAGAGUAAAACCUGUAAAUUCUCAGUGCCCAUGUACACAGCAGGUGAGGGGGUGGAGAGAGGGGACUUGAGCAUCACCCUACACGGACUUGGCUCCUGCCAGGGCAGAGAUGCACCGCUCUCAGUGAGGAAGGUCUGCAAACUUCCAGAGACAGUGUCCUUCUACAACAAGGGGGCAUAGCCAAGGGCUGGAUGUUCCAGGAACCAACAGCCAUUUUUAUUUUUCUUGUGUUGCUUAGUUCAUGGACUCGUGAGCAUCUGGAUCUGGCCUUCCUUCUAGGUGAGGAUGUAGUAGCCUCUUCAUUCAAAGAGACCUGAAAACAUGAGUUUACAGUAAAAAGUACAAAGUGUUCUGUUGUCCAUUCCGUGUAGUAGGCCACCGAUUUCUAUUGGCCUGAGCCAGGGAGCAACACCUGAGUGCCUCUCUUCCACUCAGGGUGUAUCGUUCAAAGAGUUAGCUGUAUCCCUGACCUUGCUUAUGAGGCUGGUCUCAGGCCUUGACAAUGCUGUGUGUUGUUGUUGAUGAUUUUCAGUAUCUCUAGCAUGGACUUUUGGAAAGUUCAUAUUUGUGUAACAAAAGUAUCUGUUCAUUCAUAGUACAAUAAAAAGAAAAAUAUAGCAGUAAUAGCCACAGCACCAGGAGCAGCAUCAGGAGCAAGGACAUUGUAAUUGCAAGAUCCUUUGUGGUACCUAUGCAAAUAUAAAAAAUAAUUGUUCUACACAUAUGUCCCAGGAGGCAGAAAACUCCAUUUCCAGCUAGAUAUACUUGAAUGUAUCUGUGUCUUUUCAUUUGCUGGAAGUAUGACAAAUCACUAUGUCCUACCAGCAGUAAACCACCUAGUCAUAAGAGGGGACCUUGCUGUUUUCCCACCUAUAAUUCCCCACCCCUCUGUUGUCUCCUGUGACUGUCUGCAUCCUCAGCAAGUUGCUCUCCACUCUGUGGUAUGAGCUCCAGAGACUACAGCGCCUCCUACAACACUUGACACAGACACAUGGAAGGGUCUCUUAAUAGAAAUGUGCAGGACUUAAGCUCUGGCUGUGCUGGCUCUGAGCUGGGUUUGAGUCUCUAAUUCCUCCUGAGUGUUCCACUCUUUCCUUCACUAUAUUUACCUCCAUCCUCCACAACUCUAGGGCUACCAUCCUCUGCUUUCUACAUCUCGUUCAAAUAUUUUAGGACUCCUGUUAGGAGUAAGGACAGGAUGGGUUUUCUAUCUGGGCUAUAUCAAUGAAUGAAUCUUGCUGAUACAUUAUCAACACCUAUAUUUAUGUCACGAAUAUAGGAUUCAAAAAAGAAUCCAGUAUUCAAAGCAUACAUGACUAAGUAGAAAAGGGUUUCAUUACCAUAUUACCUACAUGUGUUAGCUGGUUUCUCUGUGACCUCCCUCAUUUGCUGCCACGAUUUUAAUUCGCUCAAUAGUUAGGAUUUUGAUUGUUUGUUUUGUUUUAUUUUGUUUUAUGCAUGGAGGCAUUUUAAAUUACUAUUGAUGGUACCCUUUUUCCUGCUUUCUCAGGGCAAGACCAAAGUUGAACAUGACACACUGAUAUUUGAUAUGCUCCUGAGGGUCUGUUUCCCAGGAGGAUGGGCGGCUGUCCUCUGAGCAAUUUAAGCUGGGUUCCCACCAUGGGCUUUCUUGCUGGAAAAGAAACACAAGGAACAUGGGCUUGGGUCUAGAUUCUGAGUGCUAUCCAUGCAGUCUGGUAAUAAUCAUGAUUUGUGAAGACACACUUAAUGAUUAUACACCAGAGCAGACACUGAUCUCAGUCCCUCUCCAAGUUCUCUUCCUGAAGUGAAGCAUACGGACAUUCUAGUGUGCAAUUUGCCUGGUAAAUUUCCUCUUCGGGAAAGGCCCUCUUCAGUAAAGAAAGUGGGGGGAGUACAUUACGUUUUCUUCAGUCUUUUCUCUCCAGACAGAUCAGGUAGCUAGUCCAAGAGAAGGUGUGAAGGGAGGGUCCCUCAUCCUUCUUUUAAUGCAGAGGAAGGUUGGGAGCUUAUUCAGGGGAUAUUAGACAACCCUAGCCUCUAUUGUAAUUACCUUUCCACUGACAGGUGGAUACUUUUUGUACCCCAUGAAAAACAUCUUGAAGGCAACAUUGAGAUCUGGUUCCCUUAGGAUUUUGACUGACAAAAUCUUUGACGUGUGUCCAUCAAAGAACAAGCAAGGGUGUCCAAUACACACAUGAAUGUAGGCACUUCAUGACACUCACUGCUAUUAGUAUUUGAUGUAGUAUAAAUGUUUGUGUUGUGCGAAACAAUCCAGGACUCAUAUUUCAGGAAGAAGUCUGAGAUUGGAACCCCAAAUUCUGUCUUUCUGAUAGGGGUGUGAAUGCUUACUAAUUCUUAGAGGACCACUCCAAGGCUCAACUUGUAAAUGUGAUCUAAUUCUGCUCCUGAGAAGCAGAGAAGGUUGGAGAGGUCAUGAAUCUUUCAGGGUUCAGCCCUGACUUUUAUGGUGUUCAAAUUUGUGCUGCCAAUAAGGUCAUCUUUUCCAGCAUUAAGCAGGUUUUCUUUUCGUGGUUUUGUUGCUCAAAAAGGCCUUGAUCUUUUGUAUUCCCUAUCACAUUAAGAACAUUUCUAAUGCUGCCUUUGAGCAAUGUCCCUAUGGAUUUUCUCUUAAAAGAAUCAUUGAUGAUUUUACAUGACUGGGCAUGCACAGGUGUGUCGUGAUAUGAUAAUUGUUGCUCUCCUUGUAGCCUCAUUGUUGGUAUUUCAUUAAGUGGAUCUUCAAGCUCUUAAGAGAGUUUACUGUGUGAGUAUAUUUAAAAAAACAAUAUAUAUUGUUCAUGAACAAUACCUGUUAUUUGAAUUUCCUGUCACUGUGAAUGUAAAUGCAUUGUCACUAAAAAGCAGAGGACAACCGAAAGGCCCAAGGUAUCAGUGGGAAGCCCUUCAGAUAAUGCUCCUGACCACCCAUGCAGCACAGUAUUUGCCUUAUUCACACCAUUGCACAGCCAUCAAAGUUGCUACUCAUGAUCUGUUUCACUGGAGGAUGGGUGCUGUCUGUAAGCAUUCUACGCUUGUGUUCUUACUCUGGACGUCUUCACUAGAAAGGGCCUCAGUGCACAGAGGAGCCUGUGGUUGGCCUAGGUUCUUUGUGCUAUCAGUGAUCAUAGUUUGAAGUCGGUAAAUGUGUGCUUGUUGAUAAUAAUCCCUUAGAUCUCAGGAUCCACCCAGUCUCUCUGUGAGUCCUGUUUUGUGACAAGUCUUAAGUGAUAAGGUCAGUCUUUUUCUGGUAGUGUCCUCUUUACCAUGUUUAGGGUAGUAGCAGUGGCAAGUGUAGACACACUGGUUCCCCUCUUGAGAAGCAGAGGGAGCUCAGGAGGUUUUACCUGGGACUUUGUUCCCUCUGUCUAUUGUGUUCAAAUAUUCAUUGGCAAAUCAAAUAAUUAUAUAGGAUUAAAUGUGGUUCAAUGUAUCUUGUUGCUUGAGGGUUUACUUGAUACCCUGUAUUUCGCACUGCAUUUAAUAUAAUUAUUAUUCCAGGUCUGUUUCCUUUCAGAUUUUUUCUGUGGCCCUUCUUCAUAUGUCUUCAGCCUGGUGUAGCUACAGGCAUGCCAGGACUUCCAGUAUUAUGAACCUGUUCUGGCAUCCUCUGCAAUUUACUGAUUGUGUAGGUCUUCAAGCUCUGGGGAUAGAUGAUGAGAGGAAGAAGUUUCAUGAACGUAUCUACCCUUCAGCCAUUGAAUUCUGUCUCUAUGUAUGGGACAUUCAUAGAGUUCCAGCAUUUGUGCUUCUGAGCACCUGAGGGACACAAUAUUCAGUUUAAUACAAACCAUGAUUUAACCAUGGAAGUGCUAGAGAGGGCAUGUUUCACUGGAGGACAGGCUUCUAGCAUUUGAAGGAUUUAUGCUUGUUUUCCUCCUAUGGGCAUCUUCCCUGGAUAAGGACCCAAUGCCCCUGUGGAGAAGGAUGUGAUUUUCUCUAGGUUUUGAGUGCUGAGUGGUCACAUAUUGGGGUUUUUUGUAGUGGAAGGAAAACUCUGAAAGCAUUCUUAAUCGCAGAGAAAGAUUAAAGGGGAUGCUGCUCUCAAUAUUUCGCGAACACUAUCUCUGAGGUGAGGAUAGUGUCCAUGUUGUUGGGAAGCUUUAGUUGUGAAGGUCUUCAGGGAAGAUACAGUAGAAGGCACACUCUGCCUUCAUGUCUUUUUUUAAAGCAUAGAAUAGAGUUUAUUCAGGGAAUAGGGAGGGAGUUAAGAGGGUAGGACAGAGAAAGGCAGAGAGAGCUGGAGAGAGAGACAGAGACAGAGACAAAGAGAGAAAAACAGAAAGAGAGAGACAGAGAAAGAGAGAAGAGAAAUGUAGAGAAGUAGAGAAAGAGAAGAGUAGAGGCCGGCGAUGAGCACAUGGAGAGAUGGAAGGUGGAGAGAGAAGGGACAAAGGGGCAAGAGGAUAAGAGAAAGAGAGCAAGAGAGGAGAAAAAGAGCAAGAGACCAAGAGAUGCCCUCAUGUUUUUACUUUUCAGCUCCGGGCAGUUUAACUAGAGUGGUUGGCAUAAAAGUGUGAGUGGAGGGUCACUUGUACUCUCCUGAAAUGCAGUGGGGAAUUGGAAAUUGUGCAUGGGGUCAUUGUACAACUCUACUGUCUACUGUGGUCACAUUGACACUGCCUGGUGAAAUUCUUCAUAAUGAAAUAUUUUCUGAAACAUGGUUGGACUUUGGUUGCUUUAAAGUACCUCUGACUUACUUUAUUUAGCAACCCAUUAAUUUUUUCUAAUGCCAGGUAGGGGUCUGGUAUCCCUUUGGAUUUCUUCUGAGGAAAUCUUUGUUGUGUUCAUUAUGGAUCAGCCAUGGGUGUGCCAUAAUGUUCAGAACCACAGGACAGUAUGUGAUUUUCUCUUUAAUUGUUGAUGUAGUAGAUUUUUAAACUCUUGGGAGAGGUGAUCAGGCAGAGAAGUUUGCAUUUGGUAAACCUGGCUUUUUGAGUUUUGAAUUCUUUCUCUGACAUGGGAGAUAUCAUAUAACUAAGUAGUAUAGUAUCAAUACAGGCCACAGCCUGUCAAGGGAAGCCCUUCAUACUCUGUGUGCCACAACACCUUGGGAAAACCGUAUCUAGUGAUAGCAUGAAGCUUGGGACCUUUCAAUUUGUAGAGGAGAGCCCUUUCUAAUCUACUGAGAUGUUGUUAUGUGUAUAAAAUUAAAAGUUAGACAUACCUAAAGAAGUAGUGAAAAUACAACUGAAGGGCUUGGGAAUAUAAGAGCAAAUCAAGACCAAACAGGAGUGAAUAAUGAUCCUAGGAUCAUAAUUUUGUUGUUUUAAACCAUAUUUUAUAUCCUAUAUUUCAUAUUCACUCCAUAUUAAUUAUUUAUAAUCCACAUUUGGAUUCUGGCUCCCUCUGGAUUUCUUCUAGGAUCCUUUCUAAUUGUCUUCAGCUUGGCGCAUCUACAGGUGUGCCAGGCCUUCCAUUAUUAUGAUUCUCUUUUUGACAACCUCUGUCCUGAAUUGAUGAAGUUCAUCAUCAAUCUCUAUUCAGUGAUGUGAUGAUAGUCGAAGUGGGGGUACAAGAUUUCAGCAUGAAAUCUACCAUGUAUUAUUUGAAUUUUCUGUCAAUUUGAAUGGGAGAUACCCAAUUAGUUCCUAGUACUAUACACCUAAACUCCAGAUGUCAGUGAUAAUUACAUCCAAAUGUGUGCAACACAGCCUUUCUGGAAUACAAUAUUCAGUCUAAAACAAACCCUGGCUCUAAUCCUGUAUGUAAUCCAUAGGGUGUGUUACUUGGAGGAUGGGCUGCUAACAUUGGAGGCUUUUAUGCUUGUGCUCUUACUCUUGUCUAUUUCCCUAGAAAAUGAAGCGAUCCUCCUCUAAAGGGGGAUGUGCUUGUGUCUAGGUUCUGAGCUAUGACUGGUCACACCUUGGGUUUUUCAUGUUUGAUGUUUGUGAAGAUGAAUACUCUGCAAACCUGCUCAGUACAGUGAAUCUUUGGAGCUGGUGCUGCUGUUCUGUCUCUCAGAUUCUCCUGUUCCUCAGAAAAGGACAAUAUCCACGCUGUGGGAAGCUUUUGCCUUAUACAUUCUGUUAAAGAAAGAAGGAGUAGACGUCACAGUGUUUCCUCAUGCCAUUUCCUCCCAUCUCCAGGCAGCUCUGGUAGACCAGGUGAAAAGAAGGUUUGAAGGAAAGGACACUUCCCCCUCAGAGUCAAUGGGAAGUUGGGAGGUUGUGUGUGUGAUUGUCUACAACUCUGCCCACUUCAAUUUGCACUGCUCAGUGACCUUCUACCUUUUAAUUCACUGUUUGCCACUACAGGGACAUAUUGUUGUUGCUUUAAAGAAUCUUGGACUUCCUGGGUUCAGUAACACUUUUAAAAGAUUCUAAUGGGAUCAGGGUUCCUUUUAGAAUUCUUCUAAGGACCUUUGAAUUUUCUGCAUCUACGGUUGAGAGUUAUCCAGUCUCUAAAACGUAGAGGAUCAAAACAAGUCCUGUAUUUUCAUAGAUAACCCACUGUAUUCUGAACACUGCAGGAGAUCAAAAUGCAGAGGUUCCACUGGAGAGCUGAGUUUUCUCCUCACACCUAAGUCACUAAAUUUAAGGGGCUCUUUAUAAGCUACUGAGAUGUUAUCUUGCUUAAUAACUCACUUAAAUAUAUGGUGGGUAUGUGAAGGAUAGACAUAUCCACAAGUGUCCCCUACAUAGCAUAUUGCAGCCUCCUCCUCUUCGGCCAGACACCCACAUUUAGUGCCACGUAUUAGAAGGUUAACUUUGCUUCCUCUUCCACAUCCAGGUAGGAUUUUCAUCCUUGUCUUGAUGACCUGCAACAGUUGUUUGAUAUGAGAAUGAUGUAGUGAUUUCAGGACCUCAGUAUCGGACAUGACCAGGGAGUCUAUAUUUGCCUUCACUAAGUAUUUGGAUGAACACAAGGUCUUAGUCCUAAGAUAGAAAGCCAAAGGUCCCUGAAACAGUGCCCAUGACAUAAUUUUUGGGAGAUGUUUUCUUCAAAGGAACUGGCUUUAAGCUCAUUUGAUAUUUUCACUAUUUCCUUCUCUUGGUAGAAGUGAUAAGGUAUACAAGUGAAUAAAUAUAUAGUUAAAUGAUGUCUUCCUGGAAUAAAUCUGUUCUAGGAAUGAUUAUAUUUACAAAUCCUAACACUACACAUCAGAGAUACCUAAAUGAACUGUAGUGCUAGGGAACUGCUAGUGAUACCCCCAUUCCCACCAAAUAAAAGACAGGAGCUGUUCUGGUGCAGUUCUCACAGCAGGACCUUUAUUUUAUAUGAGCUAGCUCGGGCCCCUCAGCUUACUACUGACUGACAGGGAGGUUUUGCAUGAAGACAGGAGCCCUGAAUGUCUACUGGUCAAGGCUUUAUAAUAAACUGCAAGCGGGGUGGGUUGUGAGUGUGCAAGCAUUGAAUUGGACAGCUACCCUGGCCUUUAACAUAAUUGGCUGGUGCUCAGGGAUCAUAUCAUAAACUUAAUUCCUGCUUUCCCUGCAUUGUUGUUCCUUAGACAGGGGCUGUGCUUGUAAUCUGGGGGUGUGUAUUUCUUGGGGGAAUAAUCUGGAGACACGGGGCUUGUUGGGGUUAAAACCUGGAGCCACAGGUAUUGUGGCUAGUUAGCCUAGAGUCUGUAGCUAGGCUCAGGUUUUCUUCAGGGGUGGUAACUUGGAAACUAAUGCCAGGUAUCAGCCUUUUAGUUUACCUGAGUUCAAACUUAAGUCAGAUCCUCCAAAAGGACAUCUGAAUUUAAAAGAUUUGGCCUCUCCUGGCCCCCAUUUCUCUUAUGACUAGAAGGCCCAAUCGUGGGCUUUUAUGAGAACAGUUACAGGGCUACGUUUUGUGCUGUCACUGGAGCAUGGGCAGGAGCUCAUCAGUGGGAGACAGCAGGGAGUUCUGAGGUUCAAUUCUCCUCCUGCUAGCCAGGCUAUUUCCAACUGCAAAUGGAUGUGCAGUGCAUUCACACUGUAACUCUGUAGCACAUGAACCCUUUCAGUGACUCUAGUGACUCCUGGCAGUGUGUGUUGACUAUGGCCCAAUCUCCAGGUUAUAGGUGGUGGAGCUCCAACUAGACAGUUGGCGUAUUUUAUGGAAAGCACAAAGUUUAAGCCAAACAUGUUUGUGUACCCACUGGAUACCCUUGAAACCAUAUAAUAAUUAGUACUCAUCUGCUUCUGUUACAACUUCUGUAAGUAGGUGAACUGAACAUAACUUUAAAAUGUGUGAGCCCCAUCUAGUAUGGGGAGUUCUGUACUCUAUAGAGAAUUAAGAGAAGAGGAGUCACCCAGUUACUGUUAGUCUUUAAGAUUAAUUUAGCUAAGGUCGCCAACAGUGUUUAUUUUAUCUUCUCUACCUCUCCUGAACUCUGGGGUCUGUAAGCACAAUGAAGUUUCCAAUGAAUCACCAGAAUAUUAGCUAAUCUCUAAUUUAACUGCGACAAAAAUAUAGGUCGAUUAUUUGACCCUACAAGCUUAGAAAAACCAUAUAUUGCAAGAAUUUAUUUUAGUAUUUUAUAUAAGCAUCUGCACAUUCUAGUAUUUGGUGGGGGAAAAUCUCAGUCCAUCCUGAAAAGUUAUCUAUAUGCACCAGAAAUACUUGUAUCUGAUUUUUCCUGAGUUUACCUCAAUAAAGGGUGUUUCCUGAUAGACUCCUGUUUUUGUGCUCUGCUAUUGAGUACUAAGUUUCUGUUAACUGGCAACCACAUAGGUCAAUUGACAGGCACAGAGUGAAUGUUUUCUGAUCAAACAUGUUGCCAUUACAUGCUCUUAAAUUUGUUUCUUAAGGCAUGCCUUAUUUCCUGUUUUUAUUAUCUCAUCAAAAAGCAUCCUACUGAGUGGUUGGGAAUUUUUUCCUUUGUUACUCAUUGUGAAGACAUUGGUGAUGUGUCUUCUUCAUGGCUUAGCCAUGGGUAUGCUAUGACCUCAAUAACAGUGGGCCCUCUUUGUGUCAUUCGAAGUCAGUAAUGGAUUUAAUAGAUUUUUAUAAGAGGUGAUUCAGAAUGCAGGAUUCAGGAUAAAUUCUGCCAAUUGUUCUUGGAAUUCUUCGACAUCCUGAAUGGGACAUGGCUCAGCACUGAUCACCCCAGGGAUGGACAUUGCAAUAGGAAUCGUUUCAUGCUUUGUGCUACUAAAUCCCCAGCGCACAACACGCCCUCCAGGGCUCGCUCUGGUACUCCUAGCACAGGUGCUCCUGAGCGUCUGUUUCCCUGUAUGAGAAGAUGCUGAGGCUUCUCAGCUUGCGCGCUCACCCAGAGAUACUUGCUAGGAGAAUGUGCUUAUGUCUAGGUUCUCAGUGCUAUCAGUGAUGACAUCUGGGAUUUUUCCUGUUUUACGUCUGUGGAGAUUUUCUUGUUGACAAUAAAUCCUCGGAAUCCAUGAUGCUCUAAGUCUUUCCUCAAGUUGUGUUCCUGAAAGGAGGCUCAUGUACAUGGUGGGAUAGGUUAUGUAAGGGAAGCUCCUCUUCAAGAGGACAAAAUGAGAAAGGUAGGGGUAAUGGUUCAGUCCCUUAGAGGCAGAGGCGAGUUGAGAAAUUGUGUCUGUUUUAUUGUACAACAUAUGUAGAGUCCUAUCCUAUACAGUACUCAGAUUUGAUCUGCCAGGCUGACUUCAUAUUCGUGAUUAAAUAUAUUCCCUUUACAUGCUCAUAUUCAAAGUGCUUUGAAGCAUCUUUUAUAUCCUGGAUUUAGUAUUCAAUUAAAAAUAUUCUAGUGUGAUUUUGAAAGUCCUCUCUCAGAACUGCUUUUGAGGAUGAUGUAUUUUUGUUGUGUUGUUAUUGCUUCUGUUUUUGUUUUUUCCUAGCACAUUCACAUUUCUUAUGGCUUAUAUGACUAUGGAACAUUUUGUAGAUUCAAAUAUUCAUAGCUAAUUAGUUAAAAUUUCCUCCAACUUGUACACAAGAUAGGGAGAAUUGAAACUUUGAACAAAAAUUGCUAUUCAAUUUUUGGGUUUCUUGUGAUUUUUAAGCAGAAGUCGUACAGUAAAAAAAAUACAGGAUGACAGUGAGCUUUGCAAUAUCAGUGGAAAGAACUUUAUACUGUGUGCCUCUGGACACCUCUAUUGAAUAUUAUUCAGUAUAACAAACACCCUGGCACAGUCAUCAGAUGUCAUCAUGAGUGUGUGUUUCCAUGAGCAUGGGCUGACAUUUUCUAAGGCUUCUAUAACUGGUCUCUCAUCCUGAAGUUUCUUGCUGCAAAAUACAAUUGAGCCUCCCUAGGAGGAUAAGCUUGUGCCUAGGUUCUGAGAGUUCCUAAGGCUCACAACUUGGAUUUGUUGAGACGGCAGCAAGAUUAUUGAGAGAUAAUCUUAUAAAGAAACUAAUGAAACAUGAAAAGGGAGACGUGACUAGUGUCCUCCAUCUGAACUUCUGGUUUGGCCAGGAAAGUGGGUCAAAGAGCAGAUGGGAGAGUGGUAGGAAGAGCAAUGAAAGGUGCACUUCAAGUCCAAGCUAUAGUAGGAAAAGAGAGAAAAAUCUAUAAUCCAACAUGCAGUAAGGUCCCUAACAUUGGUCUCUUACAAGAACUUAUGGUCAUCAGAAAGUUCUUAGCUUUUGAACUGCUGGAAUAAAAGAGGCUUUUAAACAAGGAACAAAAGAGCUUGGUGCCACCUAACUCAUGGUGCUACAGGAAAAGAUAGGAAUUAAAUAUAAUCAGUGUGAGUGCUGGGAAAGCUGAGUAAUGUAACUUUCCACCAUUCCUUAAGGCAAAAAAAAAAGUAACCCGAGACUGUGUGAGGGAAACAACUCAUUACUGGUUUGACAAGUCAAAUCCAUUAGAAACACAUGGUUAACUCCAUGGCAUGCCCUAAAUAUCAGGGAAUGGAAGACCGAAAGAGAGGGACAAAAUCUUCUGUGAAAAAUCAGAAGAGACUGUGUUUGGCUCUUUUACUAGGACAAUGAAAUUGUAUUCAUUUGACUCCUAAAAGAAAAGGUUUAUCCAGUGGACUGAUCCAGUGUAUUAUAAAAUGUUAACAACCUUGCUGCCCCUUUAAAAAUAGUCAAAGCUUUUGCUGAUCUGAAUGUGUUAGAGGAAGAAGGAAACUGUCUGGAAAAUGAGAGGGCGCCCUUGAUGAGCUAAGACUAUGGAAAAGUAGAGGAAGAGGUCUGUCUGGGCUCCUCAAAGAAAAAGUAGAAUGAUUUGUAUGAUGUAGGCAUUCUAUCCCUCAACAGCAACAACAAAAAUACUCACUCCUGGAAUGGCAAAUUUUGUGCUAAAGGGCUUCUGGAUUGCUUAAAAUUCCAAGGAACAGUAGGCUGAUGGCAUCUGUGAGAGAAUAUUUAGGUGAAGAUUAUCAGGUCAGAGGCAAACAUUCCCAACGAAUAAGCAGUGUGUAUUUCCUUCUUGGAAAGGUUCAGGAUAGGCGUGGGGAUGAUUUGCUCAGGUAUAAACUCUGAAAGAGUGACAUUUGUGGAAUGGGGGAAGCUAAAGCUAUAUGAGACAGCUACAGUGCUAAGCAAGCACUCCACACACAUAUGAACCUAGCGGGUACAGCAGGCAAGAGCACAGUCAGCUGUCCCUUUGUUCCUGAGUAGGUCGAUCCCAUUAAGUCAGACCUACUGAGCUAACGAUGGAUGGAGAUAUGUAGAUGGCUCUAUGAAAGAGCUCCAGGAUCUAGUAAUCUAACAGCUCAGAGAAAUGACUGAGCAUUACAGGGAGCUAAGUCAGUUAGUGGCUAAUGUCAUUGUUUUAUACCUACUUUAAUCUGUGGAGGAAGUGAUACUGAUACAACUGGAUAAAACGUUUCCAUAGUGAGUUAGACUUUGCUUAUGUUCAACUUUAGUAUCUUCUAGGUUGUGAACUUCUGAGAUUCAUGGUCCCUUGCUUAGAAUAGAUGAAAGAGACAGUUUGAGUGCUUCAAUAAGGUCAUUUUUUAAUCCCUCGGUUUGGUAGGGGAUGCUGGUUCAUGGCCUUCUCCUGCCCAUCCUCUGGAAAACAUUCUCUUACAUGAAUGACACAAGGGUAAUCUUUGAGUGUUUUGCAAGCUAUUGGAGAGCCAUCCAGGUUCGUGGGUAAUUCUGUCUACCUCACAGUCCUAGUGGGGCUGGGUUAAUUGAAAGUUAAAAAUACAAAUGGUAUCUUUCCUGUAUAAAAAAUGAUAACUCCCAGAAGGCAUGUGGUAACUAAAUGAAAACCAAGUGCAAUGGAUCGGCUACAUACCUGAGAGUUGAUGGCCAUGGAAACCCUUGAGAGCCUACAAAGCAUACAUUCUAUUGCUACUAAUGCAGGUUGUAUGCCAGAAGUAAAUAGAAAGACACUGUUUGCUGAAGACAAUUUGUUGACUAUAGGACAUAGGAAUGAUGCUGGGACUGAUCUAAAAGCUCCCACCCUGCUGGUAGGCAAUCAUAGUGAAAGAGGGUGCUAUGCAGGUUGUUGGUAGAGAUCUGUCACCAGCAUUCCUGUUUCCCUAUGUACCGUGCUGUUAAAUUAGUGACAAGCCAAACAGGAUGUUCCUCUCAUUCUGUAGUUGCUGGGUUAACAUGAAGAAGUCCAAAUGUCUUCUGAUUGGAAUGAAGACCCACUCAAUAAGAGGGAGUUUAUCUGAUACUAUAAGUCUGGACAUAAGCCUUUAGAUGUGCUGGUCACAGGUCAAAAUGGGGAACAGUUUCUGUCCUUUUAUUAGAUGGAUUAGAUGUUGCUGCCAUAUUGCCUUCUAAACAAGAGGGCUUUUAAUGCCAUACAUUGUCAAAUUGUCAGCAUCAACUCAAUCAUCAGUGAAGCUCUUGAGAUCAAGGGACUGUUACUGUGAUACAGUGGCCUAAUUCUUAGCCAUAAGUGGAUAACUGUGACCUCCCUUCCAAGGCUCAGGGACCAUUGCGGAAGAGGUGGCAGAAAGAAUGUGAGAGCUGCAGGAUGGGGGUAGAGUGCUAUAUUGCUGUUUCCUGGGAGUUUGAACAAUUACACCCUACAGGGAUGCUCCUUAUCCAGAAGGUAAUCAACAAAUUAGCUUCAGAAAGUCCCUGAAAUGAACAGACUCACUAGGACACCCCUCUCCAGAGUAAACAUUAUUGGUUGCUGAGAGUUUCUUCAAUGAUGCAAAGCUUCUAAGAAGACUUGCAGUCAAAGCAAGCUCUAAAGACUCUCAGAUCAGAUCAGGUGCCUUGCAGAAACAAAGUAGCUGAACUGACUAGAAGAUGAACUGAGUCACUUUAUAGUAUAUGCUGAGCUUCCUCACAGAACACUCUCCCACUUGUGAUAUCUGUAGGCUGUGCAGUGUGCUGCCACUUCCCAGCUUUUGUGAGAUCUCACCUAUGCUUUGUCGUGCUUGAUGAUGACUCUGUAUUUGAAUAAUUUCUACUUCUGUAAGUAAUUUUUCCCCUAGAAUUCUGUAAGUAACCCCAAUAAAACUCAUUGUUCACCAAG